CGGCGGAGAAGGCGCCGUGGAAGCUCUCCCGGUACGACAGCGCCUCGAGGUCGCCGGCCAUCUUGAGCAGGAUCUCCCCGAGGUCCGACCGCCCCGCCGCCAGGGACUCGCGGUACGACCGCGCGGCGGUGCGGCUGAUGUCCACGUUCGCCGGCUCCGGGCAGUACUCGUCGUCCAGCCACUUGUGCAGCGUCUCCCUCAGCCACACCGAUUCCUGCCGAUCGAGGAGCACGAAAAUGGAGGUGAGGUGAGGAAAGAUGCGAGCUCUGCUGUCUGCUGUCUGCUGUCUGCACACUCCAACAUUUAUUCCUGCUUGGACUCGAUUAAUUUCUAGUUUUUCUACUGCACGGUGAAUGAGCUAGCAGUAGGGUCAGUUCAUUGGCUCCUCCCUAAAUUUCGACACAAUCGGCCACAGGAUUUCUGCUUCGCCCUAUCCAUGCUGCGGAUGCAAGAUUCGUACCCCAAGAUUCCCACUGCUCUCGCGCAGUAUCUGAAAUCUGAACAGCAGAAGCUGAGAGCUGGAUAGAACUGCAGCAACCACCACGAGGCUGCUGCAGGAAUCGAUGGCCGAAACCAGACAAAGGAUGGGAAUUCGGAAAGAACCUGCGCCGCUCCCUCAGGCGUCAGCCAGGAAUCGGGCACCCUCAGCUCCUGCACGCGGUUGUCCCGCUCCCCGCCGGAAGCUGCGGCGGCGAGGAGAGGCGGUCGUGCCGGGGAGGGUCGAGCGGGGGCGGAGGCCGCGGGUCGGGAUGGAUUGCUGGGGGGUGCUAGGAAAGGUUGCGCCUUUGACGGAGGUGAAGGGGAGUGGAGGCGGCCAUGGAGGAGAAGGGCAGCGAAGGAGGUAGAAGAUGACAUUUUUUCCCCUUUUUUGAGUAGCAGAGGUUUCUGUUCUUUGGAAGCUGUGUUCUUUUAAUUCAUUUAAUAAAAAUCAUAUUGUCAGCUUCCUUCCUUCCUCUUGUGAGUUGGUGCAUUGGAAUUUCAUAAGAAUGUCAUGAUUGUUCCAUAUGUAAA